CAUUCUCCCAGUUUCCUGCAGCCAUGGCUGGUCAACACACAACCAGACUCCUCUUCGUCUUCACCUCAGUCUCUGUGUGCUUCGUCCUCUUCACCCAAGCUGAAGCCUGCAUCACCGCAGAGAUCAGGGUCGAGCGCGUGGUUUGGUCCACCUCUUUCAACCUCAGCUGUGCACGCUUAACAGGAAUGGAGCGCAUUGUGACCCUAGACAAGGAGAAACAGCACGUCCAUAACCUUACCAUCCUGGAACAGGAGAUUGCUGUGGAGGUGAACGAAAACCUGCGUCUGCUGGUGGAAGGAGACAGGGUCGUGUACGAGUUCAAACAGGUGACAGAGCGGGAGGCGGGGGUGUACACCUGUGAGCUGCAGAGGAACUACCCCCCACCUUUCAAGAAGGAGGUCCGCAUGUCUGCUCUUUUUACAGAACCCCUACAACAAACGACUCCAGAGCCCGGUCCUCCUCGGCUGAAUGCCUCCCAGGAGGAGCACCAGACGAGCCCCGGUCCCCCUCGGCUGAAUGCCUCCCAGGAGGAGCACCAGACGAGCCCCGUGCCCCCAGAGGUCUCCCAGCCUCCCCAGGGCCUCUUGCGGGUCUGUAUAGGGCUGUCCAUGCUCUGUGCCGUGACCAUCUUCAUCAUCCUGGUGCUGGGGCACAAACUGCACGGGAACGCCCAGACAAAGAACGAGUACAUCAACACUAGACCAGCAGAAUCAAACAAGGGGCAGCACUGAAAAUGGCCAGGCUGACUAUGUUCUGACUAUGACACACAAAGUAUGUGCAUAUUAUAGACGCAUAUUAAAAUGUGUGUGCUUGGCCUACAAAUAUGGCCAAAAAAACUCGCUACUGCUCAGUGUCAGCUGUAAUUGGUAGACUCUUUAUCUGGAAACAUAGAUGUCAUCUUUACCCAUUAUGUGCAUAUUAUAGACUGACUCUUUGCCUAAGAGCCUUUUAAAAGCCAUAUUUGGUACUUGCCUUGAUAUGUAACCUUCUUGUUAAUACCAAUAAAGAAUUAAGUAGUAUUGACUCUGUUUGAACC
rnacentral:lncRNA from 1 species